GNUCCCGAGCGUUGUCCGGAUUUAUUGGGCGUAAAGCGAGCGCAGGCGGUUAGAUAAGUCUGAAGUUAAAGGCUGUGGNUUAACCAUAGUACGCUUUGGAAACUGUUUAACUUGAGUGCAGAAGGGGAGAGUGGAAUUCCAUGUGUAGCGGUGAAAUGCGUAGAUAUAUGGAGGAACACCGGUGGCGAAAGCGGCUCUCUGGUCUGUAACUGACGCUGAGGCUCGAAAGCGUGGGGAGCGAACAGGAUUAGAUACCCUGGUAGUNCACGCCGUAAACGAUGAGUGCUAGGUGUUAGGCCCNUUCCGGGGCUUAGUGCCGCAGCUAACGCAUUAAGCACUCCGCCUGGGGAGUACGACCGCAAGGUUGAAACUCAAAGGAAUUGACGGGGGCCCGCACAAGCGGUGGAGCAUGUGGUUUAAUUCGAAGCAACGCGAAGAACCUUACCAGGUCUUGCCAUCCCGAUGCCCGCUCUAGAGAUAGAGUUUUACUUCGGUACAUCGGUGACAGGUGGUGCAUGGUUGUCGUCAGCUCGUGUCGUGAGAUGUUGGGUUAAGUCCCGCAACGAGCGCAACCCUUAUUGUUAGUUGCCAUCAUUCAGUUGGGCACUCUAGCGAGACUGCCGGUAAUAAACCGGAGGAAGGUGGGGAUGACGUCAAAUCAUCAUGCCCCUUAUGACCUGGGCUACACACGUGCUACAAUGGCUGGUACAACGAGUCGCAAGUCGGUGACGGCAAGCUAAUCUCUUAAAGCCAGUCUCAGUUCGGAUUGUAGGCUGCAACUCGCCUACAUGAAGUCGGAAUCGCUAGUAAUCGCGGAUCAGCACGCCGCGGUGAAUACGUUCCCGGGCCUUGUACACACCGCCCGUCACACCACGAGAGUUUGUAACACCCGAAGUCGGUGAGGUGNCCUUUUAGGA
rnacentral:rRNA from 1 species